rnacentral:rRNA from 1 species
AUACAUUGACAGUCGAGCGCGCCUUCGGGCGAGCGGCGGACGGGUUAGUAACGCAGUAGGAACUGCAGAUUACGGAAUAGCCACUGGAAACGGUGAGUAAUACCGUAUACGCCCUUCGGGGUGAAAGAUUUAUCGGAUUUGGAUCGGCCCGCGUUAGAUUAGGUAGUUGGUGGGGUAACGGCCUACCAAGCCUACGAUCUAUAGCUGGUUUUCGAGGAUGAUCAGCAACACUGGGACUGAGACACGGCCCAGACUCCUACGGGAGGCAGCAGUGGGGAAUCUUGGACAAUGGGGGCAACCCUAGAUCCAGACCAUAGCCGAGUAGAGUAGAAGAAGGACCUAAGGGUCAGUAAACUCUUUCGCCUGUGAUGAUCAUGACAGUA